GACGAACGCUGGCGGCGUGCUUAACACAUGCAAGUCGAACGGAAAGGCCCUGCUUUUGUGGGGUGCUCGAGUGGCGAACGGGUGAGUAACACGUGAGUAACCUGCCCUUGACUUUGGGAUAACUUCAGGAAACUGGUGCUAAUACCGGAUAGGAGCUCCUGCUGCAUGGUGGGGGUUGGAAAGUUUCGGCGGUUGGGGAUGGACUCGCGGCUUAUCAGCUUGUUGGUGGGGUAGUGGCUUACCAAGGCUUUGACGGGUAGCCGGCCUGAGAGGGUGACCGGCCACAUUGGGACUGAGAUACGGCCCCGACUCCUACGGGAGGCAGCAGUGGGGAAUAUUGCACAAUGGGCGGAAGCCUGAUGCAGCAACGCCGCGUGCGGGAUGACGGCCUUCGGGUUGUAACCCGCUUUCGCCUGUGACGAAGCGUGAGUGACGGUAAUGGGUAAAGAAGCACCGGCUAACUACGUG
rnacentral:rRNA from 1 species